CACUUGGCCUUAGUUUUUUGCUCAUGUUAAUUAAUACCUUGCAUAAUAUCCAUGUACAGUAGGUAGUGGCACUCUAUAAUUAUUGCACUCGCGGACACGAUGCUCUUCAUUAAUCAUUUCGCGGUAGAAGAAAGAUCCAUAUUUCAUUUUUGAAUUUAGACUGUGUCGAUUACCAUGUGUUGAGUUUACACUUGGUUUUUUUGUCCAUCAAAUUGCUGGCCGUCUUUGGAGAAGAUCAGAUCAGAUGAAUUCAACAGGUAAUUCGUCGUAUCAAUCAUGUCAGUUCGAUCUCCUUUUCUUCUUUUACAACUGCUUUUACACAAACAUAUAGUCUCAUCUGAUGUUUUUUUGAUAGUUGUGUGUUUCAUUUCAAUGUACUGACCGCUAGCUGGAGAUAACUUCCAGUAGAUCUCAAUGCUCCUCAGAUGAUUGGCAGUGUGCUGCAAACUGUUGAUGUAUAUUUUAUCAAGAGCAUUUGAAUCAUGAUGCUCCAGACAAUGCUGAAGUUGAUUCAUCUGGUUUCUAUUAUCUUCAUGGAGCAGCGCAUCGUGCGUCCUGCCAUUAAUCUUCCUCCGAUCUCGCGUUGGGAGUAGUACCAAAUCUGCAUAUGUGGGAACGAUGCGACAAGAAGCUUCUGGAGUUAGAUGGGAGAGCAAAGGAGAGAAGCAGCAGUGUUCUAGUUUUUGGUGUGUUUUCCCCAGCAAGAUCUCCAUUCUUGUUCAGUGGCUCACACCAUCUUCACAAGCAAUGGCGGUGUACAAGUUGGACGUGGAGGGAUCAACUACGAAGCUUCUAUUGUUCUCUCCCAGCAGGUGAUAUCAGAAAUCAUUGAGUGUUGAUGAAAAUCGGUUCUUUUCUACCUAAAUCUGAGUUGCUGCUCCCUCUCACAUCAAAGUUGGCUGCACGUGUUCAUGA